GGGCAGUUAUGGGGUGAGAUAUGGGUUGUGGGGCAGCCAUGGGGUACAGUGGGUCCCUAUGGGUCUCUAUGGGGCGCAGUGGGUCCCUGUGGGUCCCUGUGGGGCACAGUGGGUCCUUGUGGGUCCCUGUGGGUGUUGCUAUGGGGCGCUGUGGGUCUCUAUGGGGUGCUAUGGGUCCCUGUGGGUCACUGUGGGGCGCAGUGGGUCCCUAUGGGUCUCUAUAGGGUGCAGUGGGUCCCUGUGGGUCCCUGUGGGUCACUGUGGGGUGCAGUGGGUCUCUAUGGGUCCCUGUGGGUUACUAUGGGGCGCAGUGGGUCCCUGUGGGUGUUGCUAUGGGGCACAGUGGGUCCCUGUGGGUCUCUGUGGGGCGCUGUGGAUUCCUGCGGGUCUCUAUGGGGCGCUGUGGGUCCCUGUGGGUCUCUAUGGGUCUCUAUGGGGCGCAGUGGGACUCUAUGGGUCCCUGUGGGUGUUGCUAUGGGGCGCUGUGGGUCUUUAUGGGGCGCAGUGGGUCGCUGUGUGUCUCUAUGGGGCGCAGUGGGUCGCUGUGUGUCUCUAUGGGGCACUGUGGGUCCUUACGGUCAUUUCUAUGGGGCGCCGUGGGGCAGGGCAGGAGGCGGCGCCGCAGUGGGGCAGCGAGGAGGCGGCCAGGGGGCAGUGCCCCAUAACUCCCUUCAACCUGGAGGAGGAGAUGGAGAGCGGCAGCUUCGACCGCGCCGGGAACUACCGGCCCCGCGGGCCCCCCCAGCGCCCGGACCCAUGGCUCGAGGCGCUGCCCUGGGUAUGGGGCGCUAUGGGGCGCUAUGGGGCGCUGGGGAGCGCUAUGGGGCGCCGGGGAGUGGCUGGAGGGGCACUAUGGGGUGGUGGGGGGUCCCUAUGGGGUGCUAUGGGGUG
rnacentral:lncRNA from 1 species